GUUGCAGUCUAUUGAGCUCGAACGAGAAGUGCGACGAAGAAGGCCGUUAUUCGUUAAUAAUUCUUUUAAAGAAUACGGGUCAGAUAUGGACAACGACCUCGAAGACAUUUGAAGUAGGCUAAACAGAGAAAGAGAGGGAGAACCAAAACUACCUGUCCUGGCAUCACACUUGAGGAGAUGAAGUCGGUGAAUAUGACCUACCCCGGGGGAGUUUCCAGAAGAAGGCCCAGAACCGCCGACCGCCAGGAGUGGAGGUCCUUCGUUGUUGCCCUACGUGCCAGGCGGCAUCAGGCAGUAGAUGCUGUAAGUUGAAAUGGAAGGUGUCCUGAAUCUGCACCCAGUCAUCUGGUUUCGUAACACCUUUCAUAGCGCCAUUGAAACCUGCUCCCUACCAGUAUAACAUCGAACAGAUUGGAAGAAUAACGGCCAAUGGGAAGUGCCUUUUAUACCCCUACUUGCCACACAGCAGUGGUUUAGCGCAAUCUAAACUGGAUUAUUGUAGCUCUUCGUGCUUGAAUUAGGGCGAUCUGGACCGACUGCAGAUAGUACAAAAUGCUGCAUCUAUUGUGCCAUUUUCCAUACACCCACUUCGCUGGCUGCAAGUCAAGGAAAGGAUGUACAUGAACAUCAGUGUCCGUCUACUGAUUUUCAAAGUCAAUGACAGGGAUCCAGAUUACAUGUAUUAAAAGGAAUGCCUUGUGCGUCAUUUUCAUUCUAGGCGCACUUGCCUUUUUAUUUUUUUGAUCCUUAGUCUACCAUGCACCUACAAAUUAGCUACUGGUGAUGAAACUUUUUCCACUACUGCUCCAAGGCCAUGGAAUUAGCUCCAUCCUCUCCUCCAAUUUUUAACAACCUUGGAUCAAGAUAAUUUGAGAAGACCUUCCACAUUCCUGAUCAUCUUUGCUCUGGACUUGGAACAACACUGUCACUGCCUGGUAAUUUGAAUUUUUAAAAAUCUCAUGUGCUGACUAGGAUGGCAUCUCAAAGUGCUUUGUAUCUCACAAAAUAAUGUGUUGUGUAAAAGAGAACAAGCAUUGAGGUCAAGCAUAAGGGUAACCAUGGAUAUGGCCUUUGAUUACUUUUUAACAAAACUGAAAAAUUCAUCAAAAUAGGACAAGGGAUAAUAAAGUAAUGUAUGACAUUCUAAGCUCUGCAUUAUUUUGGUGAAAGACCUCUAAGCAUAUGCAAGUAGCCUGCUGAUGAUGUCAUACAGACGUACACGUACAUGUAUCCCCAACUUAUUAUUUUGUAUAUAAAAUUGUGUAUUUAAAUUGGAUUGUAAACUGCAUUGAUGUGACUUACCUGUAUUGAUUAUUGCUGGAAGUUCUUUUGCUACAUGGGAUUGGAAGACAUACUUAGUACACACAUGAAAUAAUUAUUAUUUCAUCUGGUAACAGAACAAUAAAAAUGUGGGCAUGAUAUCAUAAACUUAUCUACUUGCAUGUGUUAAUUACCAAUAUUUUUGUAAUUAUUUUUUAUAUGAUUUUGAUAAAAUUUUCACUAUUUUGCAUGGUAAAUAUUACUUUAUUUAUCAUAGAUAUAAUUAUGUUGAGCCCGGAUAUACAGUACCCCUUUAAAGAUAAAUUACCAGUUGUAGUAACAAUCUUAAAAUGAGUUCAAACAGAAUCCAAAUAUAGCUCGAGAAGAAAAUGCGUAAUUGCUGAGAAAUGAGCAAAAUAAGCAUGUAAAUCUAUCAAAUGUCAGGUAUUUUUCGAAUCAAUUAUAUUACACUGUCCUGUCUCACAUAUGUUUUUCUGUGUUAGUGAUCAUUAGAAUUAUUUAUUUUAAAGAUAAAUUCCAGUUCUGGUAACGAUCUCAAAAUGACUUUUUACAGAAUCUAAUAUAAUGACCACCCAAGUGUCUUUAUGAAUAAAAAAUAUGUGCCAAAGGAUUCUGGAAGAAAUUGUGUAAUUGCUGAGAAAUAAGCAAAAUAAGCGCGGAUUCGGUCACUUCCGUCGGGUCUUUAUUCCAGAAAUAAUAAUACACUGUCCCACGUGUGCCUAUCUGUGUUGGUGGUCUUCAGUUUGAACCUUCUCAGCGUAGAUUUUAAGAUUUCACAAAGUUCAGUUUAUGUAACUGUACCAGAUCUAGAUCCUCGAUGAUAUACUGACAGUUAAGCCUGGUUUUACAGACUUUCUCAUGAAAUCAGUGUUUACUGCAACUACUGGCAUUUCUCUUUAAGUUCGAAAUUCAUGAUUUUACAAAGAUACAAGUUUACAUUAAUGUACCAGAUCUAGAUCAUGUACAAUAUUUUGACAAUUAACCUUAAUUUAAAAGACUUUCUCAAGAAAUAAUUGUUUGCUGCAACUACUGUCAUUUACCCCUAAGUGAUAAUGUAAUACAAUCACAAACUUUUCAUAAGAAUGAAUGUACAUGUAUGAUUCUUAAACCCAAAUGCAAGCUUCCAUAAAUCCUGAAAUCAAUGCGACUCAGGUAUUUUUUUUUAUAUAGUAUAUUUUUACCUACAUUACAUAGAUCUCUAAAGUUGAAGGUAUAUUUAAUUACAAUUUCAACAAAAAAGCUAUAUUCUUGGAGAUCAUUAUUAUUUAUAAUGCCUCUGUUAUGUAUUAAUGUGUAUUUAUGUAUUGGUAUAACAAACAUUGUAAUUAUUUCAUUCCUUUGACCCUAAUACUGCAUUUUCAUAGAAAAGUGUUUUUUUUAUAAAUCUAUUGAGAGUUUUAAAACUUUUUCUUUUCCUUUUUUUGCUGGUAAUAUCAUGUUAUGCAACUUUUAUUUAUUAAUAGAAUAUUUGUCAUGAUUUCCUAUUAAAUUGAAAUGCGUACACG